ACCGACACACAAUCCAGUUAAACAACAAAUGUGGCGUUUGAAAUUGCCUACCUGAGUCGUUACAGCGGUAAAUAUACCACAAUAAAGUCCCAAAAAUCAUUUUACAACAUUACUCUUAAAAACAUAGUCUACUUCAUUUGGAAAAAUGCUGAAUUCUAAGUGCACAUGCGUAGAGUCAACAUUACAUGGUAAAAAAAAAAAACCGACGGUUCAGACAUUUGACACUUUGUUGUUACCGUACGUACACUGUUUGGCGGAAGAACACGUACUUACUACCGGUCGGUCAUUCGUUAGUUCGUGGCUUUGAAAUGUUUUGCCAAAUAAUGUCGACUUUUUCAUUCCAUUUGAAAGCAAGGAGCGCCACUCCUCCUAGUGUGAUGUGAACAAGCCUCUCUGUUUCAACCUGUUGCUGACACUGCGACACGGAGCACAUCCCCUUUCGAAGCGGACAGCACUCGUGGAUCUUGUGCUGUUUGGACAUUUGGCACAGCAGGCAAAUGGGCUCCUCGUCAUUCUGACAAUAAAUGCUCAGCUUCUCCUCGUGAAGCAUGCAGCGGUCUCCGCUCACGUUCUCCGUGUGGUA